rnacentral:rRNA from 1 species
AUGGAGCUGGAGGCGCCGUCGCCGGCGAGGUACCUGCUGGGCGCGGCGAUCAUGAUGGCCGGCGUCGUGCUCCCGCUCGCCUACAUGAUCUUCCGCAGCAAGCGCUCCUCCUCCUCCGCCGCGGCCUCCGUCUCCUCCAUCGCCUCCGCCGCCCCCUCCUCCUCCUUCUCCAAGCAGACGAACAAGGGCCUCUUCUGA